GGUCAGGGUUCAAAUUACACACUCUUGGGGGCUGCCCAACAUUUUUAUUUCUAUUUUUUUUAAAGUCUGAUGUUUUUAGGCGGUAAGUCUCAAGACCUCGGCAGCGUAUUGUCAUCGGAGAAUCGGGGCGUUUCUGUUGUGGAGUAUGUAUCAGGAGAAUAAAUACAUAGAUCUACACCAGAGCUGAAGAACAAGCUCCAAGGGAGAGAGACUCCCUUUUUCUGCCUUUGCUGAAAACAGAGAGACCUUUGUCUUAGAUUUGUUACGCAAGUCAUGUUGUAAUCUGAGCCUACUGGAGUAAAUAUAGACACUGCCAAGGAAGAAAGGGCUCUUUUAGUGAUCAGAAUAUUUUAUUACUGAACUUCUAGAACAUUUCACUUCAAAGGAAGGGGAGUUGCCAUGUACUGAGACAGUUGUGUAACUUUCCAACCCCAACUAAAUGUUUUGGGCUACUUUUUGUGCAACCCUCCUCUUCCGCAAUCUCUCCUUGUAUUGGCUGGGCAGUGGCCAAUGAUGUAUGACCUGUGUGUCUAGGUAGGUAGUGCCCAAUGAUGUAUGACCUGUGUGUCUAGGUAGGUAGUGCCCAAUGAUGUAUGACCUGUGUGUCUAGGUAGGUAGUGCCCAAUGAUGUAUGACCUGUGUGUCUAGGUAGGUAGUGCCCAAUGAUGUAUGACCUGUGUGUCUAGGUAGGUAGUGCCCAAUGAUGUAUGACCUGUGUGUCUAGGUAGGUAGUGCCCAAUGAUGUAUGACCUGUGUGUCUAGGUGGGUAGUGCCCAAUGAUGUAUGACCUGUGUGUCUAGGUAGGUAGUGCCCAAUGAUGUAUGACCUGUGUGUCUAGGUGGGCCGUGGCCAAUGAUGUGUGUCUAGGUAGGUAGUGCCCAAUGAUGUAUGACCUGUGUGUCUAGGUGGGUAGUGCCCAAUGAUGUAUGACCUGUGUGUCUAGGUGGGCAGUGCCCAAUGAUGUAUGACCUGUGUGUCUAGGUAGGUAGUGCCCAAUGAUGUAUGACCUGUGUGUCUAGGUGGGCCGUGCCCAAUGAUGUAUGACCUGUGUGUCUAGGUGGGUAGUGCCCAAUGAUGUAUGACCUGUGUGUCUAGGUGGGCCGUGCCCAAUGAUGUAUGACCUGUGUGUCUAGGUGGGCAGUGCCCAAUGAUGUAUGACCUGUGUGUCUAGGUGGGUAGUGCCCGAUGAUGUAUGACCUGUGUGUCUAGGUGGGUAGUGCCCGAUGAUGUAUGACCUGUGUGUCUAGGUAGGUAGUGCCCAAUGAUGUAUGACCUGUGUGUCUAGGUGGGUAGUGCCCAAUGAUGUAUGACCUGUGUGUCUAGGUGGGUAGUGCCCAGUGAUGUAUGACCUGUGUGUCUAGGUGGGCAGUGCCCAAUGAUGUAUGACCUGUGUGUCUAGGUGGGUAGUGCCCAGUGAUGUAUGACCUGUGUGUCUAGGUGGGCCGUGCCCAAUGAUGUAUGACCUGUGUGUCUAGGUGGGCCGUGCCCAAUGAUGUAUGACCUGUGUGUCUAGGUGGGUAGUGCCCAAUGAUGUAUGACCUGUGUGUCUAGGUAGGUAGUGCCCAAUGAUGUAUGACCUGUGUGUCUAGGUAGGUAGUGCCCAAUGAUGUAUGACCUGUGUGUCUAGGUGGGCCGUGCCCAAUGAUGUAUGACCUGUGUGUCUAGGUAGGCAGUGCCCAAUGAUGUAUGACCUGUGUGUCUAGGUAGGUAGUGCCCAAUGAUGUAUGACCUGUGUGUCUAGGCAGUGCCCAGUGAUGUAUGACCUGUGUGUCUA